rnacentral:rRNA from 1 species
CGACCGCGUGGAGGAUUGAAGUCCCUUGGGAUGUAAACUCCUUUCGAUCGGGACGAUAAUGACGGUACCGGAAGAAGAAGCACCGGCUAACUCUGUGC